rnacentral:tRNA from 2 species
GUGCAGCUGGCUGACUGCAUUGACUGCGCCCGCCCCGCGGGUGGCCAGGUAGGCCAUGUUGAACGGCUCGUGGGAGUCCUGCGGCUGCUUGC